AACGUCAAUCCUGCUCUUCUCUCAUUAAUAUUCACAAGAGUUCACGCACAGCUACUCUUUAUAACCAUUUUCUGCAUUUUACAAAAACAGUAGAGCCAUGAAAAUGUCAAAUGGCAUAAAUACAUUUAUGGAUUUAUAAAUCACAGAAGUACUGGGAUAAAAGUUUAUAGUUCAGAUAUGAACUCUGAUGUGUAUGGUAGUGAUUAAAAUAGAGUAGGACUAAAUCACCUUUUAAAAGUAAUUUGGGACGUCAAAUGAAGAUUUAUCGAUUACAUUGUAACACCAGAGAUUCAAGAGAUUCGUUCAAGUGAAACAAGUAUAUCUUGAGUGAGUCAUUGAAUCAUUAAUUCAUAAAUUACAUAUGAUUUUGUUUAGUUGUCUAAUGUUUUGUUUAAUUCAGAAUAGUGAGAGAACCACAACUUCCAUUGAAAAAAUACAAUAAAAUUAAUUUUAUCAGAAUCAUGUGCCUCUAUUUUGCGUGCAAACAGAUCUUAAAGAGUCGCGUUUUUAUGUAGCCUGAUGAAUUUUGUUCGUUGUAUUCAGUAGCAAUUAAAUAGUUUGCAAAAAGAGACAUAGGAUAAUGUUUGAUUUAAUUAUUUAAUCUUAUUGGAGUAGAAAAGAAUUGCAGUCAGAAUUGGAAUCAAUAAAAUUCAACCAUCCAUCUUUUGUUUUUGUUUUUAUUUACACUAGUCAACACUUGAACACUUGAAGUUUCAUCAAAGUUGUCUUAAAACCAAAACAAUACCCUUUCUUGUCUUAGUGUUUUGAGUUUACAUCUCCAAACUUAGAAUUCAGAGAAAAAAGUCAGAGCUGUGAGAUUUAAAUGCUAAAGCUAAGAAAUAGUCAGAAUUGCAAGAUUUUAACGCAAAACUAAGUAAAAAGUGACAAUUGUGAGAUUUAAACGCAAAACUAAGAAAAAAGUCAUACAGUCAGAAUUGCGUAGUGUGAAUGUAAAACUCAUAAAAGUCCGAAUUGCGAGGUGUGAACGUAAAACUCGGAAAAAGUCAGAAUUGCGAGGUGUGAACGUAAAACUCGGAAAAAGUCAGAAUUGCGAGGUGUGAACGUAAAACUCGGAAAAAGUCAGAAUUGCGAGGUGUGAACGUAAAACUCGGAAAAAGUCAGAAUUGCGAGGUGUGAACGUAAAACUCGGAAAAAGUUCGAAUUGCGAGGUGUGAACGUAAAACUCGGGAAAGUCAGAAUUGCGAGGUGUGAACGUAAAACUCGGAAAAAGUCAGAAUUGCGAGGUGUGAAUGUAAAACUCGGAAAAGUCAGAAUUGCGCGGUGUGAACGUUAAACUCUGAAAAAGUUCGAAUUGCGAGGUGUGAACGUAAAACUCGGAAAAAGUUCGAAUCGCGAGGUGUGAACGUAAAACUCGGAAAAGUCAGAAUUGCGCGGUGUGAACGUUAAACUCGGGAAAGUCAGAAUUGCGAGGUGUGAACGUAAAACUCGGAAGGAUUUUCUAGACAAGUAAAAACAAUUGUCUUGUUUUCAGAAAAAAAUUGUUUUUGUGUAGAACAAGCUAAAUAAUCUUAUUUAAAACAGAAAACAAAAACUGUGCAUCGGGUAAAGUCUAAGCAAUGAUUAGUAUUUAAUACUAUUGAUUAAAGCAUAAUUAUUUUACUCAUUACAGUAGAAUUAAGACCUUGCUCAGCCUUUACCAGAUGCACACAUACACACAAUAACCUGUCCUUCAGUUCAUUACUUAAGAUCAUCAUCAGACUGCAUUUACUAACAUUUCAGUCAUUUUCUUAAUUACUAAAUUCAGAAGAUGCUAAACUGUUAUCUGGUUUUAAAUUCACAAGGAUUUGAGGAGAGAAAAGCAUUUCUUCAGAAUUUCUUCUUUUUGACUGAGCUUUCUCUAAUAAAGAGCGUCCUCCAGCUCUAAAUGGUGGAAAAGUGUCAGGCGAGCUGCUUGACUCAUGCUUGAUUAACUCUGUGCUAAUUAGCGUUGGUGGAGAGCUCAGAAGAGCUGUAAUUUAUGUGCUAGCAGAGCCUCGGAGGAAUGGGGUGAAAUGUAAAUGCACUUGGCGCUGCGAUCACGAGAGAGAGAGCCAGAGCUGCGGCGGAGGCCAGGAGGACAAACCCUCGCAGCUGUUGCGCAAAAACCCCACAGAAAACCACACGACCUUGAGACAAACUGAAGGUGAAGAUGUCUGGGUUCAUGCCACAGAAAAGCAAUGAAAAUUACCUGAAGAGAGCAUUUGUCUUCAAAACACUACUUUAUUUAUUUUAUUUAGAAGUAAUUUUAAACAAAUUCCUGUUCUGUUAUAUUUCAUUGACUUUGGCCAAUUAGCUGGUAACUUUAUUUUUUGUUUAGACUAACAUUGUUUAUUAUUUUAUUUUGAUUUAUAAUUUAAUUUGAUUGGAUUUUAUGCAAUUAUUUUU